rnacentral:rRNA from 1 species
AUUGAACGCUGGCGGCAUGCUUUACACAUGCAAGUCGAACGGUAACAGGCCGCAAGGUGCUGACGAGUGGCGAACGGGUGAGUAAUGCAUCGGAAUGUGCCCAGUCGUGGGGGAUAACUAGUCGAAAGAGUAGCUAAUAUCGCAUACGAUCUAUGGAUGAAAGCGGGGGACCGUAAGGCCUCGUGCGAUUGGAGCGGCCGAUGUCAGAUUAGGUAGUUGGUGGGGUAAAGGCUCACCAAGCCAACGAUCUGUAGCUGGUCUGAGAGGACGACCAGCCACACUGGGACUGAGACACGGCCCAGACUCCUACGGGAGGCAGCAGUGGGGAAUUUUGGACAAUGGGCGCAAGCCUGAUCCAGCAAUGCCGCGUGCAGGAAGAAGGCCUUCGGGUUGUAAACUGCUUUUGUACGGAACGAAACGGCUCUGGUUAAUACCCGGGGCUAAUGACGGUACCGUAAGAAUAAGCACCGGCUAACUACGUG